GACGAACGCUGGCGGCGUGCUUAACACAUGCAAGUCGAACGGUAAGGCCCUUCGGGGUACACGAGUGGCGAACGGGUGAGUAACACGUGGGUGAUCUGCCCUGCACUUCGGGAUAAGCCUGGGAAACUGGGUCUAAUACCGGAUAGGACCACUGCCUGCAUGGGUGGUGGUGGAAAGCUUUUGCGGUGUGGGAUGGGCCCGCGGCCUAUCAUCUUGUUGGUGGGGUGAUGGCCUACCAAGGCGACGACGGGUAGCCGGCCUGAGAGGGUGACCGGCCACACGGGGACUGAGAUACGGCCCAGACUCCUACGGGAGGCAGCAGUGGGGAAUAUUGCACAAUGGGCGCAAGCCUGAUGCAGCGACGCCGCGUGAGGGAUGACGGCCUUCGGGUUGUAAACCUCUUUCAGCACCGACGAAGCGCAAGUGACGGUAGGUGCAGAAGAAGGACCGGCCAACUACGUGCCAGCAGCCGCCGUAA
rnacentral:rRNA from 1 species